GGCGGUGUAGCAUAGUGGUAAGGAGCAGGACUCAUAACCGAAAGGUUGUAGGUUCAAUUCCCCACUGCUG
rnacentral:tRNA from 1 species